rnacentral:rRNA from 1 species
AGCGAACGCUGGCGGCAGGCCUAACACAUGCAAGUCGAACGAACUCUUCGGAGUUAGUGGCGGACGGGUGAGUAACACGUGGGAACGUGCCUUUAGGUUCGGAAUAACUCAGGGAAACUUGUGCUAACACCGAAUGUGCCCUUCGGGGGAAAGAUUUAUCGCCUUUAGAGCGGCCCGCGUCUGAUUAGCUAGUUGGUGAGGUAAAGGCUCACCAAGGCUACGAUCAGUAGCUGGUCUGAGAGGAUGACCAGCCACAUUGGGACUGAGACACGGCCCAAACUCCUACGGGAGGCAGCAGUGGGGAAUCUUGCGCAAUGGGCGAAAGCCUGACGCAGCCAUGCCGCGUGGAUGAUGAAGGUCUUAGGAUUGUAAAAUCCUUUCACCGGUGAAGAUAAUGACUGUAGCCCGAGAAGAAGCCCCGGCUAACUUCGUGCCAGCAGCCGCCGUAAUAC